AGUAAACCUGCAAAAUAGAUUGACAUCGAUUUAUAAGGCGGGGAGAGAGGAACGUAUACGUUUGGCAAGUACGGUGAGGUGAAGCUUGUUUGGGACGCAAAAUUGAUCCAAUUUGUUACUGGGGCAUAUAUUUGGCGUCGCUCGAAAGGAGUCCCGAAUGGGCAGUUUUCUGUAAAAAAUGGUUUUUGUAAUUGGCCAAUAUCGAUGCAAUGCGAAAGUUUAAUUAAAAAUCCUAUAUGAAUCCAUUGCCAUGACGCUUGAGCAGGAAAGGGUCAAGCGUAAUGGUGAUGAAUUUUUUUUUGAUGUUGUUUUUAAUAAUAAUACUUGAUCAACCCUUUAUGAGAUUUCCCAUGGUUGGCACAAAAAAUCCGAAUGGAGAGCGAUGCUUUAAGUAGGUAGGAAAAUAAGAUAAAAAAUGAUCGUAUCGUAUGUACAACAUAUAUUAAUAAUCGAGUCGACUUGUUUUCUUUGAGCUAUUCUUUCCAGGGGCGGAAUAAGCACUACGCAAAUUAAGCGUCCGCGUGGUACCCCGAGGACAAGAGGGGUCCCGUAAAAAGGAACCAACCCACCGCUGACAAGUUUUCAAACAAUUGAGUCAUCUGUUAUUCCAUAAAUUAUGCACGAGUCGAACAACUCGUACGGCUUUACAACGUGCCCCUCAUCGGUUCAAGCCUAAAAUGUACCGACUCUCCCAUCCCGUAGCAAGGACUAACUGACUAUCUGGCUGCACGGUACUAAUAAGUCUCGAAAGCCUGUAUAGGACGGGAUGACCACGUAGGUCGUUACGCCAAAUAGAAGAAAGUUCGGCAUGAUAUAGUAUACGUUAAAUAAAAUUUAUUUUCCUCUUUUUAAA